rnacentral:rRNA from 1 species
CGGCUUCUUCCGAAAGGAGCGCUAAUACCGCAUACGUCCUACGGGAGAAAGUGGGGGAUCUUCGGACCUCACGAAGC